rnacentral:rRNA from 1 species
CCUACGGGUGGCAGCAGUAGGGAAUAUUGCUCAAUGGGGGAGACCCUGAAGCAGCAACGCCGCGUGGAGGAUGAAGGUUUUAGGAUUGUAAACUCUUUUUGUUAGGGAAGAUUAGGACGGGAUUUGACGAAUAAUGACGGGCGAACUCGGUGCCAGCAGCGGCGGUAAUACGGAGGGUGCAAGCGUUACUCGGAAUCACUGGGCGUAAAGGGUGCGUAGGCGGGGUAAUAAGUCAGAUGUGAAAUCCAUUAGCUUAACUACAAAACUGCAUUUGAAACUGUUGCUCUGGAGUGUGGGAGAGGUAGGUGGAAUUCUUGGUGUAGGGGUAAAAUCCGUAGAGAUAAGGAGGAACACUCAUGGCGAAGGCGACCUGCUGGAACAUAACUGACGCUGAUGCGCGAAAGCGUGGGGAGCAAACAGGAUUAGAUACCCGAGUAGUC